GCCUCCUUAGCUCAGGGGCAGAGCGUCGGUCUUGUAAACCGAAGGCCGAGAGUUCAAUUCUCUCAGGUGGCA